GACCGACUUCCGGUUUAACACUCAGACAAGCGCUCUGUUUUAGCCUGCUAUGGAGGUGGUCAAAGCAGAGGAGGAGUUCAAAUAUCUGGGGUCAACUGGACAAAGUAAUGGUGAGUGAAGAAGACAGUGCAGGCAGGUUAGAAUGGAUGGAGGAUGUCAGGAGUGAUUUGUGCAGAAGGUUGCCAACAAGAGUGAAAAGCAAAAAGUGUUCAAGACAGUAGUAAAAGCAGCGAUGUUGUAUGGCUUGGAGACUGACAAAAAGACAGGAUACUGAACUGAACUGGAGGUAGCAGAGCUGAGGAUGUUGAGAUUCUCACUGGGAGUGACAAAGUUGGACAGGAUUAGAAACAAGAAUAUUAGAGCGACAGCACAUGGAGGACGGCUUGAAGACAAAGUGAGAGAGGCGAGACUGAGAUGGUUUGGACAUGUACAGAGGAGAGAUCCAGGGUAUAUAGGGAAAAGAAUGCUGGAGAUGGAGUUUGCAGGUAGAAGGAAAAGACGAGGAAAACCAAAGAUGAGAUGUAUGGAUGUGGUGAAGGAGGACGGUUGGUGCUACAGGAGGAGAUGGAGGGACAUUAUCCGCUGGGGUGACCUGUAACGGGAACAGCCAAAAGAAGAAGAUCCUUAGGACACUCACCCCCACCCCCAGUUUUCAAAACUAUUCAAGUUUAGAUCUGUGCUGCUGUAUAGCCUAAUUAAAGGUUUAUACAUAUCGCAAGCCAAAUAAAUAAUAGGAAAAAUACCCAUCCAUCCAUUAUCUGUAGCCGCUUAUCCUGUUCUACAGGAUCGCAGGCAGGCUGGAGCCUAUCCCAGCUGACUAUGGGUGAGAGGCGGGGUACACCCUAGACAAGUCACUAGGUUAUCACAGGGCUGACACAUAGACAAACAGCCAUUCACACUCACAUUCACACCUACGGUCAAUUUAGAGCCACCAAUUAACCUAACCUGCAUGUCUUUGGACUGUGGGGGAAACCAGAGCACCCGGAGGAAACCCACGCAGACACGGGGAGAACAUGCAAACUCCACACAGAAAGGCCCUCGCUGGCUGCUGGGCUCAAACCCAGGACCUUCUUGCUGUGAGGCGACAGUGCUAACCACUACAUCACUGUGCCGCCCAUAGGAAAAAUAUAUGUUUUUGUUAAAUAUUAGCAGCUGUCCUGAAUUUGUUUUUUUGUUUUUUUUAGAGUAAAGAAAUACAUUGUCCCUCUUUAACAGUUCAUUCUUCCUUCAUAAACACUUCAUCUUGGACAGGGUUACAGUCCAUCCAAAGAUUCAAGAUUCAAAGGCUUGAUUAUCACAUACACAUCAACAUCGCAAGACAACACUGUAGGCAAUGAAACUCUUAACCUUCUCACUCAUCCAUACAUAUAGUUAAGAAUAAACUAGUGAUAAGGAUAAAAUAUGAAUAAGAAUAAACAAAUUAAAUACUCUUUAAAAAAUAAUAGAAUCUAAAAUAUGGAGGAGUAGAAUAAUAAGGCCCAAAGUGAAAAAUUGUAUGAUCUGUAAAUUAUGCUUAAUACCCAGUCUGAUACCUGAGCUAAUGACAGUUCAUUAUCCUGAUGGUUUGAGGACACAAACUGUCUCCGAGUCAGCUGGUUCUGGACUGGAUGCUUUGGUAACUAUUGGAUGGUAGUUGGGCAAACAGUCCAUGGCUAGGGUCCCUGAUGAUCCUUAGGAUCUUCCUGCAGCUCCUCUAUUUGUAGAGAUCUUGUGUGCUUGGCAGUUUGGACCUUAUGAUGCUCAGAGUGCAUGAACAGGUCCAAACUGCCAACCUGACAAGACCUAUACAGUCAGACAAGCAGCAGGAAGCCCAUUCCCAGGGACACUGAAUGCAAGAUGAAAGAGUUCACCCCAGAGCAUUUUUUAAGGAUUUUCCACUAGGAGACCAACUGGUCUGAACAAUACAAUCACAGGCCCCAGAGUCCAUGCGGCUGCACCGCUGCGGCAUAUUCUGUGAUGCAAAAUGGUUCACCAAUCACCAUACAGACAAACACACUGCAGUGACUACACAGCUAUCAAGAGCAAUUACCAAGCUCAAAUGUUAUGUCAAAGACACUCAAAGUUACACAGUCAGUGCGUUUACAUGCACAUCCAAAUCGAGCUACUGUCGGUAAUCGAGCUAAGGGUCCCAGCAGGGGUGCCAGAGAAAUCCAAUCCUACAUACACACAAGUUAAUCGAGCUAUUGUGUGAGGUACAUUGUGCACCCGAGCCACAGGUGGCGCUACACGCCCCAUCGUGUUGGUACACUUCCGGUUGUCGUCAUGAAGAAGAGCUAUUCAAGAGUAUAAACAAAGUUAUCAGCAGUGUUGCCAGAUACUGCUGACGUUUUCCAGCCCAAAACAUGUUCAAAUCCGCGAAAAUGCACUUAAAACCGCCCAAUCUGGCAACACUGGCAGUUCUGUGUUCACAGGUUCCGUGUUCAAGCUAUUAGGCUUGCUCUAACAGACUGUAUGGCUACAAACUGUCCUGCGCAGACCACUGUUUUGUCUCAUCUCAUCUCAUUAUCUCUAGCCGCUUUAUCCUUCGACAGGGUCGCAAGCAAGCUGGAGCCUAUCCCAGCUGUCUACGGGCGAAAGGCGGGGUACACCCUGGACACGUCGCCAGGUCAUCACAGGGCUGACACAUAGACACAGACAACCAUUCACACUCACAUUCACACCUACGGUCAAUUUAGAGUCACCAGUUAACCUAACCUGCAUGUCUUUGGACUGUGGGGGAAACCGGAGCACCCGGAGGAAACCCACGCGGACAGAACAUGCAAACUCCACACAGAAAGGUCCUCGCCGGCCCCGGGGCUCGAACCCAGGACCUUCUUGCUGUGAGGCGACAGCGCUAACCAGUACACCACCGUGCCGCCCCCACUGUUUUGUAAGACAACUUAUUUUGCACAAUUGUAUAUUUUUCUAAAGUCCAUUUUUUGCUUACAAUUUAACUUAUGUCUUAAUAAACACACAAAAAGUUCAA